rnacentral:misc_RNA from 2 species
AACGCACAUUGCGCCCUCUGGUAUUCCGGAGGGCAUGCCUGUCCGAGCGUCAUUGCUGCCCUCAAGCACGGCUUGUGUGUUGGGUCCCCGCCCCCUGCUUCCAGGGGGCGGACCCGAAAGGCAGCGGCGGCACCGCGUCCGGUCCUCGAGCGUAUGGGGCUUCGUCACCCGCUCUUGUAGGCCCGGCCGGCGCCCGCCGGCGACCCCCCAUCAAUCUUUUCAGGUUGACCUCGGAUCAGGUAGGGAUACCCGCUGAACUUAA